rnacentral:rRNA from 1 species
UUGGGAGGAAGGCGUUGAUGCUAAUAUCAUCAGCGAUUGACGUUACCAACAGAAGAAGCACCGGCUAACUCCGUGCCAGCAGCCGCGGUAAUACGGAGGGUGCAAGCGUUAAUCGGAAUUACUGGGCGUAAAGCGCACGCAGGCGGUUGAUUAAGUUAGAUGUGAAAUCCCCGGGCUUAACCUGGGAAUGGCAUCUAAGACUGGUCAGCUAGAGUCUUGUAGAGGGGGGUAGAAUUCCAUGUGUAGCGGUGAAAUGCGUAGAGAUGUGGAGGAAUACCGGUGGCGAAGGCGGCCCCCUGGACAAAGAC